AGAGAAAAAGCCUCUGACGCUGCU
rnacentral:siRNA from 1 species